rnacentral:rRNA from 1 species
GGAAAGGCGCGCGAUACAGGGUGACAGCCCCGUACACAAAAAUGCACAUGCUGUGAGCUCGAUGAGUAGGGCGGGACACGUGGUAUCCUGUCUGAAUAUGGGGGGACCAUCCUCCAAGGCUAAAUACUCCUGACUGACCGAUAGUGAACCAGUACCGUGAGGGAAAGGCGAAAAGAACCCCGGCGAGGGGAGUGAAAAAGAACCUGAAACCGUGUACGUACAAGCAGUGGGAGCACGCUUAGGCGUGUGACUGCGUACCUUUUGUAUAAUGGGUCAGCGACUUAUAUUCUGUAGCAAGGUUAACCGAAUAGGGGAGCCGAAGGGAAACCGAGUCUUAACUGGGCGUUAAGUUGCAGGGUAUAGACCCGAAACCCGGUGAUCUAGCCAUGGGCAGGUUGAAGGUUGGGUAACACUAACUGGAGGACCGAACCGACUAAUGUUGAAAAAUUAGCGGAUGACUUGUGGCUGGGGGUGAAAGGCCAAUCAAACCGGGAGAUAGCUGGUUCUCCCCGAAAGCUAUUUAGGUAGCGCCUCGUGAAUUCAUCUCCGGGGGUAGAGCACUGUUUCGGCAAGGGGGUCAUCCCGACUUACCAACCCGAUGCAAACUGCGAAUACCGGAGAAUGUUAUCACGGGAGACACACGGCGGGUGCUAACGUCCGUCGUGAAGAGGGAAACAACCCAGACCGCCAGCUAAGGUCCCAAAGUCAUGGUUAAGUGGGAAACGAUGUGGGAAGGCCCAGACAGCCAGGAUGUUGGCUUAGAAGCAGCCAUCAUUUAAAGAAAGCGUAAUAGCUCACUGGUCGAGUCGGCCUGCGCGGAAGAUGUAACGGGGCUAAACCAUGCACCGAAGCUGCGGCAGCGACGCUGAUGCGUUGUUGGGUAGGGGAGCGUUCUGUAAGCCUGCGAAGGUGUGCUGUGAGGCAUGCUGGAGGUAUCAGAAGUGCGAAUGCUGACAUAAGUAACGAUAAAGCGGGUGAAAAGCCCGCUCGCCGGAAGACCAAGGGUUCCUGUCCAACGUUAAUCGGGGCAGGGUGAGUCGACCCCUAAGGCGAGGCCGAAAGGCGUAGUCGAUGGGAAACAGGUUAAUAUUCCUGUACUUGGUGUUACUGCGAAGGGGGGACGGAGAAGGCUAUG